rnacentral:lncRNA from 1 species
CCCGAGUGCCCCUCCCCUCUGGGUGCUGCCCCCUCCACCUCAGCAUGUCUCCAGUCACCGGCUUGUCACCACCCCCCACUCCCAGGCUGCCUGGUUUGGGAAAGGUGGAUCCCACUCAGGUUCCAGGAAUAGCACCCAGCCAGGCCUGGAACCUUUGGUCACUCUGGCUCAGGCGGGGGCAGUGUGACCCAAAGCCGGCCACUGUCAGUGAGUUCCCAGGAGGCAGGGACCAGGGAACGGGUGACAAGGAGGGGCCUCGGGAGCCACCAGCCUCCAGAAGGAACACCACCACCAUGGGCCAGGGAGAGGGAGGCUCAGGGCCCGGCAGACCCCCUGAACUGGAGGUAGCCCAGAAGCUGGAAGCCAGCUCCCACCUUUCCACUGCCUGGACUGCUGGAGAUUCCCUCCCACACCCAUCCUCCUGCAGCCAGGGACCACUUGGCGAUAUCUCUGGCACUCUUAGAGCCCCUCUCGAAGCUACAAGACAAAACGAUCCAGUUGUGAACAAUGAAAAAAGCAGCAGUUCAAGAAACCAGCCCAGGCCCAGGCUAGCGCUGUCCACCCCCAGUCCUCAGGGGGUCACGGUAAAAAUCCAGGUUCUUAUUCCUGUUCUCCUGGACCCCUCCAGCCCUCCGACAUCUGGACAAAUCUUUGGGGAUGGCCUUCUUUUCACCUGAACCAUUUGGCCUUGAGUUUCUGUCUCUUCUAAGGAAAAGGAUUUGGACAAAGACAAAAGGUCCCAGGAAAAGCCUCGGCAUCCCCGGUGGGAGGUGGGCUCCCUGGGGAAGGCAGUUGAAAGAGUAAAUGGUCCAAAAAGAAAUUUGCCUCCAUGAAAGAUGAAGGGACUUUUUGGACCCGGUUGGGCCCCUGAAGAGCCUGAGAGUUUCCAGACUUCUAGGAUUCACCCAAGUGUGGGAAGCAUGAAGCAUCUCCUACCUGGCCGAGAACUGACCUCACCGCAGCUUUUCGUAACACCCUGGAAGCUCACCUGAGCUUCAGCUGCUAUAAACUGGAGCACAGCCUGCCCCAAGCACAUUUUUUUUUGUUGAAAGAUUUAUUUUUUAUUUAUUUCUCCCCUUCUGCUCUCUGUGUCCAUUCGCUGUGUGUUCCUCUGCGUCCACUUACAUUCUUGUCAGCGGCACCGGGAAUCUGUGUCUCUUUUUGUUGCAUCAUCUUGCUGCAUCAGCUCUCCGUG